AAAGCUUAACAUUUUCUUUUUCUAAUUCCUCAAACCACCUAAAACCCCUCCCCAAUAUUGAGUAAUUCCAUAAAAAUAUGGAAGAUAUUAUGCUAGAACUAGUAACAAGAAAUAACUUUUCUCCAAAAUGUAAGUCUAAGCCACAUUAGAUAAACUAAUGGCAAUUAACGAAAAUGAACCCCCUUUAGUAACUAAUCAAGAAAAUUCUACAAACCAAAACGUUAACCUUACACUAGAACAUUAAUGGAAAGAUUAAAAGAAAAAGAAGGAACUCGGCAAAUCUUAACCCCGCCUGUUUACCAAAAACAUCGCCUCUUGAAAUCAAAUAUAAGAGGUCUAGCCUGCCCAGUGACAAAUUCAACGGCCGCGGUACC
rnacentral:rRNA from 1 species